CAGGUUAAAUUCUAGGAAUGUUAUUACUUACAAUAAUAAUCAAGGUUUGUGCAAUUCAACCUAACUUGA
rnacentral:tRNA from 1 species